GCCACGGUGAUAGCCCAAAGGCUACCCCAGAGGCUGUGGGGAGGAGAGCAGUGCUUGCAGGGCUGCUGAGUGAGAGUCUGAAACUUCUCUGAGAAAGGGCGCCUGGAGUGGGGUUUGGGACAGGAACAGGCUGGUGGCCUGCCAAGAGGAAAAUCAGGGACUCCCCAUGUCCCCCACUUGCCCUGAGUCACGACACAUCGGAUUGCCGAGGGAGCCAGACACGCAGGGGAGCGGCUUGGCACGUUUUCCCAAGAGACGAAGAAGGAAAAGGCAAUAAAUGCUCAUUGGAUUCCAGAUUUGAUGAUGGAGGGGGUCUGCCAGGAAACUCAAAGAAUCGAUCAGCUGAUCUAAUGAAUCAUCUUUGUGGCCCCAGCCCUCCUCCAUUGGUGGAUGAGGAAGGUACUCUCUGCUCCAAGAAGCAGACAACUAGAUCUGUAUACCCACAGCAGGAAAUCACCAGGGAGUGGAAAAGAGGAUCAUGGUGGAUAAAGGGUUGACACAUACCUGUACUUGUGUGAAGACCAGAGGUUGGCAUCAGAUCAUCAAGUGUGUGUAUAGCACGUGUGCCUGCUGACUGACCAAGGUCAGAAGAGGGCAUCUGAACCCCCAGGACUGGAGUUAUGAAUGGCUGUGAACCACCAUGUAAGUGCUGGGAAUCAAACCAGUGGCCUCUGCAAGAACAUGUGCUCUGAAGUACUUAUCACUUUUUUGGGACAGGGUCUCAUUGAAUAGCCCUGGCUGGCCUGGAAUUCACUAUGUAGACCAGGGAGCCUUGAACUCAGAGUCCACCUGCCUCUGCCUCCUAAAUGCUAGGAUCAAAGGUGUAGGUGUGAGCCAGCAUACGUGGUCCACCUUACAUUUAUUAUUUGUGUGUAUACACACACAGACCAGGGCACACAUGGAGACCAAAGGACAAUUUUAUGAAGUGGGUUUUCUCUUUCCACUUUUAUGUGAGUUCCCGCAUUGAGCUCUGGUCAACACACACCUUUGUCCAGAGUCAUCCAGCUGGCCCUCUACUUUCUGAGACAGGAUCUUUCACUGAGCCAGAGCUCUGUGUCUCGGCCACACUGGAUAGCCACCUGCCUCCCUCCACCCUCCCGGGUUACAGGAUCAUGCCACCACCCCCGGCUUUUAUCUGAGUGCUAUUUCUCAUGCUUGAAUGGAAAGCACUUUAUGGGCAAAUCUAAGACUCUGAUCCUGGGGAAAAUAAAAAGUCAAUGUGGAGAAUGAAAA